rnacentral:lncRNA from 10 species
GAUCCUUGGGGUGUUACUUCACCAGUCGAAAACCUCUAUGGCUGGCGGCAUCUUCUGCCUGAGUGUUGCUUGCGCCCACUGGGCUUGUUCUGCCUACUCUGCUUGCACUACCAGCCUGCCAAGGGCAAGCCAGGAAGAAUGAGGUACAGGGACAACGGGAGGGUGAGCAAGGUGGAGAGAAGUUUCAUUGAGCGACAGGACAGCUCUCAGGAGACCCGAAGUGGGUACCUCCUUUCUGCAGGCAGGUCGUCCCAACUCAGGAGACCUGAACUGGGUAGCUCCUUCCCACAGCUGGUCAUCCCAAUGUCUUGGUGAGUGUGACUGAGUCCCAGGUUUUAUGGGCUUGGGCUUCAGAAGGGAAGAAGUAGAUGCUGACUGAUCCAUGGGCAGCCAUGGGUGGGUCUGGAAAAAGCACCCUAAGUUCUCACUCCAGGCCAUGGACUCUACCAGAACUGAGCCUGGCCCACCACGCUUCAGGCCGUCCCUGGCUUGAAGGUGGGGCCUCACCAGGGACCUGCCCCUUUCCACCCAGGAGCCUGUCUGCCUCUUGCUGCCAUUGAUCAUGUGCUCCAUGGCACCCAGGCUCUUCCCGCUGAGGGGUGCCUACAGGCCAGUGCCCAGCUGCCCUCAGCUCCCCUCCAACCUCCCUCUCUGUGUUUCUAGGCAAAGUCCGAAGCAGCAGGGGGUUGGAGUGUCAUUGUGCCCAGAGCACACACCCGGCCCUGGGUCGUGACAGCGCCCAGGCUUGGCCUCAACUUUGCCAGCUUCCGAGCCUGCGGUGGUGGUGAUGUGGCUUCCCAGGCCCCAGGCAGGGAUGCCUGGUCCGCGGCAGUUGCCUCCGUGGAAGGAGGCAGGGCUCCCACUGCUCCUUGGAGCCCACAGCCUCAGCCACACCUCCCCCACCGCCGCCAAUGUCUUCGAAGCUGCAGCUCCAGAUGGGCCACCGCGGCCAUCAUUUUCAUGCCUCUGAACCCUCAAGUGUGCCUUAAAACUCAGCUCCCAAGUGACCUGCAACUCCUUAGGGGGGCUCCCGCUGGAGUUGGAGUGCAGAGGCGGGAUCUCGGCUCACUGCAAGCUCCGCAUCCCGGGUUCACGCCAUUCUCCCACUUCAGCCUCCUGAGUAGCUGGGACUAAAGCAUUUAUUAUCACUGAAUAAAUGAUGUAAUCACUAAGGAUUUACAUCCAAAUGGCGUUUCAUUUGAGAUCCCUUCCAGGGACCAGGAAUGCCAGGCAGAAGGGGAGAGCCACAGAGGGAAGUGACCAGAGCCAGGCCUGUGCUGGCCAGCUUUGAGGUCCGCUGUCUCCUCCAGCCUGGGGGCUGGUCCAAGGGGCAGAGCUUCAUCACCCAGCAUGGGGCAUUUACAACCUGGAUGUGCAGACUGUAACGGGGGCCUCCUGAGGCUGGAUGGAGGCUUCCUGGUCAGGGGCACAUUGUCAGAGAAAGUUCAGGGUACACACCCUCUUCCCCCCAGGGGUCUUUGGGAAGAACUGAGCCCUGGGCAGGGGAGGCCCCUGAUGGAAUUUCAGGAGGUGGUAUCCAGUGGCUGAGCAGGGCAGGGAGGCAGUGUGGAGACUGAGCCGCCAGGCACAGGGAAGAUGCAGGAGGCAGGACCUCUGGAGAAGGCCCCUCAGAGAGGGCCUGGGCUGGCCUGGCGUUCAGCCUGCCUGCAACCAGGGCAGAAGCAAAGGAGGUGGGCCCAGGAAGCUUGGCUCAGCUCAUGGGAGCUGCUGGCUGGCCUGGUCCUUGGCUACCAUGGUUGGUGCGAGGGUUAGAUCUUUGCUGGAAGGGCUCUAGGCUACCCUAGAUUAGAAGGGGCUUUAGCCAUCAGGCCCAGACUCCCAAGCUUCCCACAGCCCCAGAGGCUAGAACCCAGGCUGGCCUGGGCUGCUGAGGCCAGGUAGGCAGAGCACAGGUGUUGCCCAGAGCACUGGGUUCAGGUCUAGCCUUGGAUCCAGGUGACCUCAGGCAUGGCACUUACCCUCUGUGGUCUCAGUGUCCUCGUGUCGCUGGGGGAACCCCCAAGCACCUACCUAAUGAAGACCAUUUGGAAGGUCAAAGGAAAUAAUGGGAGAAGAGGAUCGAUUGCUCCAUCAGCCUAAGAUGUCACUGUCGCUCUGGCGUCUGCUCCUGGGCCCUGUGUGCUCUGCAGACCCUAGAGAGACCAUUUCUUUUCACUUCGUGGGACCUGAAGAAGCAAGUCUAAAGAAACAGCUACAUCUGUCAAGAACUGUGCUAUAUCCAUCA